rnacentral:rRNA from 1 species
UACGUAGGGGGCGAGCGUUGUCCGGAGUUACUGGGCGUAAAGCGCUUGUAGGCGGUCCACCAAGUUUGGGGUGACAGUUGCCGACUUAAUCGGCAAAGUGCCUCAAAGACUGGCGGACUUGAGGGCCACAGAGGGACAUGGAACUCCAGGUGUAGUGGUGAAAUGCGUAGAUAUCUGGAAGAGCACCAAAGGCGAAGGCAGUGUCCUGGGUGGUCGCUGACGCUGAGAGGCGAAAGCCAGGGGAGCGAACGGG